GGAAAGAACAAGAUAUACUAAACUUGUAAGAUAUCGAACUUCUAAAGCUUUGAAGUUACGGUGUACAUUUAAAUGGUUCCGGUGAAGUUGCGGUGUAAUGUAACAUACCGAAUUUUAAAUAUAAAAAUAAAAAAUAAAUAAAAAUAGUGUGAGAUACUAUUUUUAUUAGAUUUAGAGGAGUAAAAUAUAAGUCAGAAAUGACUUGUGCUGAAAUCGGAGCGAAAACAAAAGAUUUAGAAUUUUCUGUUGAAAACGGGACAGAUAAAUUAGCAGAAAAUGCAGUCUCAGAAAAUUAUGAAAAUUGGAGGAUAAGUCAGAAAUAUUUUUAUGAGGCUAGAUUUGAAGUUUCAUAUUUUUCUGACACUCGUAGAGUGAGAAAUAAAAUCCGACAGUUAUCUGAUUAAGAUUACAGUUCGGCACAGUUUUCGGUGACCAAAUGGGGUCGAAACUGAAAACUUAAAAUAUAUUCUUACUCAGUACGUAAAACCGAACAUGACUGUCAAGUUUGAGCUCAAAUGGACAUUCAGAGAGCUCCGGCG
rnacentral:lncRNA from 1 species